rnacentral:rRNA from 2 species
UCUGGUGGCGAUAGCGAAGCGGCCACACCCGUUCCCAUGCCGAACACGGAAGUUAAGCGCUUCAGCGCCGAAAGUAGUUGG